rnacentral:rRNA from 1 species
AUCGAACGCUGGCGGCAGGCCUAACACAUGCAAGUCGAGCGGAGCGGCGGACGGGUGAGUAAUGCCUAGGAAUCUUCCUGGUAGUGGGGGAUACCGUCCGGACACGGGCCCUAAUACCGCAUACUAUCAGAUGAGCCUAGGGCGGAUUAGCUAGUUGGUGGGGUAAAGGCCUACCUAGGCGACGAUCCGUCACUGGUCUGAGAGGAUGAUCAGUCCCACUGGGACUGAGACACGGUCCAGACUCCUACGGGAGGCAGCAGUGGGGAAUAUUGGACAAUGGGCGAAAGCCUGAUUCAGACAGGCCGCGUGUGUGAAGAAGGUCUUCGGAUUGUAAAGCACUUUAAGUUGGGAGGCGUUACCAACAGAAUAAGCACCGGCUAACUUCGUGCCAGCAGCCGCGGUAAUAC